rnacentral:misc_RNA from 1 species
CACACCUAUAUACACAGAUGUGCCAUCUAUUACAACUUUUUCAUACUCUUUUCAAUUCUCCAUCAUUAAAUUUGCUUUCAUGCUUUCAACACCCAAAUCAUAAUUCUGAGCAACAUGUAAUUAUCUGUAUUAAAAUAUGCAGAAAAUUAACAUGGUAUUUACACCUAGUGUCAAAAUAGACACUGCGUGCAAUUGAUAUAUUUCUGUUCAUGGGUACACAUUUGUAAUUUACAUCUACCUGUAUAUUAUUUAAAUUGUUUUGAGACUAUCAAACAAAUCAAUAAUGGACUAGCGUUUCUCUUUUGAUUGGGAUCUUUUUGACGUGUACAUGUACAUUGUAUUACAUUGUCAGAAACCUACAGACAGUCUCUCUUCUCAUCACCAGCUUAAAACUCUUUUACUAAUUAACAGUUUUCUAAACUGCAUUGUUGUUCAAUCAAACAUAGACAUUUACACUGUAAUUGUAGAUCAAAAUGCAUUUUAUUCAAAAUGAAUUAUACAAUAUACAUUGCAUGAGAAAAAUCACACACAUCUUUAUUAGCAAUGAAAAUGAAAAACUCUCAUACUCAGAAGAAGAAAACUCUAUGUACAUGUAUUUGUUGCAGCACUACAAAUGGAUGAAGUUCUUCCAAAGUACAAAUCACACCCCCAUUCACACAUCUAUUUUUUCAAAAAUGAUAAUUUGAGGUAGCUUAUAAUGGGUUUGUACUGAUAAUUGUUAUGUUUCUAUAUUUGUAUCAAAACAAUAUAUAUUACUGGUUGCAUGUAUUGGCAUAUUAAAGAAGAGAAAUUAAAAAUUCAAUUCC